UACAAUUUCCAUGGGCCGUUUAGUAAUU
rnacentral:piRNA from 1 species